rnacentral:rRNA from 1 species
AUUGAACGCUGGCGGCAGGCCUAACACGUGCAAGUCGAGCGGAUGAAGGGAGCUUGCUCCUGGAUUCAGCGGCGGACGGGUGAGGAAGGCCUAGGAAUCUGCCUGGUAGUGGGGGAUAACGUCCGGAAACGGGCGCUAAUACCGCAUACGUCCUGAUGGCGAAUGGGGGGGAUCUUCGGACCUUACGCUAUCGGAUGAGCCUAGGUCGGAUUAGCUAGUUGGUGGGGUAAUGGCCUACCAAGGCGACGAUCCGUAACUGGUCUGAGAGGAUGAUCAGUCACACUGGAACUGAGACACGGUCCAGACUCCUACGGGAGGCAGCAGUGGGGAAUAUUGGACAAUGGGCGAAAGCCUGAUCCAGCCAUGCCGCGUGUGUGAAGAAGGUCUUCGGAUUGUAAAGCACUUUAAGUUGGGAGGAAGGGCAGUAAGUUAAUACCUUGCUGUUUUGACGUUACCAACAGAAUAAGCACCGGCUAACUUCGUG